rnacentral:piRNA from 1 species
UGGAUGAUGCCAAGUUCUGCUCCUGAUGUGU